AGCGAACGCUGGCGGCAGGCUUAACACAUGCAAGUCGAGCGGGCACCUUCGGGUGUCAGCGGCAGACGGGUGAGUAACACGUGGGAACGUACCCUUCGGUUCGGAAUAACGCUGGGAAACUAGCGCUAAUACCGGAUACGCCCUUAUGGGGAAAGGUUUACUGCCGAAGGAUCGGCCCGCGUCUGAUUAGCUAGUUGGUGGGGUAACGGCCUACCAAGGCGACGAUCAGUAGCUGGUCUGAGAGGAUGAUCAGCCACACUGGGACUGAGACACGGCCCAGACUCCUACGGGAGGCAGCAGUGGGGAAUAUUGGACAAUGGGCGCAAGCCUGAUCCAGCCAUGCCGCGUGAGUGAUGAAGGCCUUAGGGUUGUAAGGCUCUUUUGUCCGGGACGAUAAUGACGGUACCGGAAGAAUAAGCCCCGGCUAACUUCGUG
rnacentral:rRNA from 1 species